GCGAGGCUAGGCUAGUGGUAAACUGGGGGACUGUGGUUCCCUCGUCCCGGGUUCGAAACCCGGGCCUCGCCCCA
rnacentral:tRNA from 1 species